GAUUGGAGUCUGCAACCCGACUCCAUGAAGCUGGAUUCGCUAGUAAUCGCGGAUCAGAAUGCCGCGGUGAAUACGUUCCCGGGUCUUGUACACACCGCCCGUCACACCAUGGGAGUCGGAAAUGCCCGAAGUCUGUGACCGAACCGAGAGGGAGGAGCAGCCGAAGGCAGGUCGGAUGACUGGGGUGAAGUCGUAACAAGGUAUC
rnacentral:rRNA from 1 species